UGCCAGCCGCCGCGGUAAUACGGGGGUCCCACGCGUUGUUCGGAUUCACUGGGCGUAAAGCGCGCGUAGGCGGUUUAGCAAGUUGAAGGUGAAAUCCCGGGGCCCAACCCCGGAACUGCCUCCAAAACUGCUAGACUAGAAUUCAAGAGAGGUAGGCGGAACUUCCAGUGUAGAGGUGAAAUUCGUAGAUAUUGGAAAGAACACCAGUGGCGAAGGCGGCUUACUGGCUUGAUAUUGACGCUGAGGUGCGAAAGCGUGGGGAGCAAACAGGAUUAGAUA
rnacentral:rRNA from 1 species